rnacentral:rRNA from 1 species
GAUGAACGCUGGCGGCGUGCCUAAUACAUGCAAGUCGAGCGAACAGACGAGGAGCUUGCUCCUCUGACGUUAGCGGCGGACGGGUGAGUAACACGUGGAUAACCUACCUAUAAGACUGGGAUAACUUCGGGAAACCGGGGCUAAUACCGGAUAAUAUAUUGAACCGCAUGGUUCAAUAGUGAAAGACGGUUUCGCUGUCACUUAUAGAUGGAUCCGCGCCGCAUUAGCUAGUUGGUAAGGUAACGGCUUACCAAGGCAACGAUGCGUAGCCGACCUGAGAGGGUGAUCGGCCACACUGGAACUGAGACACGGUCCAGACUCCUACGGGAGGCAGCAGUAGGGAAUCUUCCGCAAUGGGCGAAAGCCUGACGGAGCAACGCCGCGUGAGUGAUGAAGGUCUUCGGAUCGUAAAACUCUGUUAUUAGGGAAGAACAAAUGUGUAAGUAACUAUGCACGUCUUGACGGUACCUAAUCAGAAAGCCACGGCUAACUACGUG